GUCAGGAACUUUACCCUUGUGACCUAUAACCCUGCCCUUGGGGAUGGGCUGAAUGGAAUUCAAGUAUUGCAACAAAGUAUCCCCAUGAGAACUAGUAAAAUUAUUGGGAGUAUUUCUAGAGGUUCCAUUAACUUACAAACUGUAAAUAUAGCAAGGUUUAGCAUACAGGAGCCACCAAACAGGAGGACCAAUUAUAGACAGAAAGUUCUAAAGGUAGAUGGUAAAAAAGUUGAAAUGCCUGGUGGAAAAGAUUCAAAAAUAUUUGUGUGUCUAAAGAAAGGAAACUGGAAAAUCUGUGAUGAAAAGUCUUUGACUGGAAGAAAUAGUUCCACUUAUGGACCAGCCAGGAGAGUGGCUGAGCACAAAUUUGUGAUUAUCAUAGGAACUCUAGGAUCUCCAGAGGACUCAGCAAGACUGCAGGCUAUGGCAGUGUAUAUAGCCAACUUGUUCCUGCUGACCUCCGACACAACCGUAGAGAUCAUCAAGGACAUUGAUGUGGACCCCACCACAGUAGAGGAUAUGAACUUGAUCGUUCUGGGAUCAGAAGAGGAGAACCUGGUCACAAUCAGCUUUCUGGAAGACAUUCCAAUAAAGAGGAAAGAAGGGACCUUCAUCCUAGAAGAGUGUAAAUUUGAUGACAGUAGAAUGGGACUCUUGACUCUUGCACCUCAUGGAAAAGGCAGACUGGCUCUGCUGAUUCUGGGGAACUCUGUAGAGGGAUUGAUGGAUGUUGUUUCUCUGGCUACGCCUACAAUUCCACCAAUGACAAGGUCACCGUUUUCCAAUUUGCUGCCAGAUUAUGUCAUCACUGGACAAGACUUUCGGUUGAAAGGACCUGGAGGAUUUCUAUGUGCUGGUUUUUAUGGAAACCAAUGGGAAUACAGAAGUGAAAUGUCCUCCUGUGUUUGCUAAAAGUCAUCGAAAUUUAUCAAGAUGUGCAAUUAUAAAUUUAAUCUGCUUAGUAGAACUUUUUGACACAAAUAUUUCAGCUGAUUUUUUCAAUCUUCUUCAUCCAAUGUCUCAUCCUUAUUUGGUUUGUGGACUUUAAAAAUUUACAACUGCAUUGCUGCCUUAUUUUUCUUAUGUUGUUACCUUAUCAUAUCAAGUGUAAUUCUGUGGAAAAUGUGUAAUGAAACAAUCCAUGUAAUUGUGUAGCCCAGGAGGGUCCUGAUUUAAUGCUAUACUGGUAGUUUUUACUGUAUUUUUAUUGUACAAAAAUUAAUUAUGUUGAAUUAAUGACAUAUGCUUUGAUUAAUUGUACUGUUAUUUAAAGUUGUUAAUAUUUGCGUUUGUUUUAUACAAAAGUCCUUUAUGAUAUUUUGCUAUGCAUGAACUACUUAAUAUUGGUAGUAUUUUGAAAUAAAUACAUGUAUAUACAUGUAUAUUUGUCUCAUUGCGUUACUGUUUGUUUACACGGAUCUUUUAUAAUAUUUUUCUAUGCAUGUACUUUUUGGAAUAAGUACAUACAUGUAAAUGUAUUUGUUGUCCCAUUGUCUUCAUACUGUAUGAUGCAGGAACGAUUUAGGAAUUUAAGUUUUUAUUCUUGGUAGAAACUACAUUCCUUAUGAACAUACUGUAUAAAUGGAACUCUUUAUGCAUCAUAUUUUGUCUUCCAUUAUUCCUGUUACAGUAUAUUGUAUACUUGUGAUUUGUAAAUCUUUGUAUAUGUGUAUACCACUUUACUAUUGAUACCAGAUGGUACCUGAUUGUGAAAGCAAUGAUUAACAGUUGAUGUAUGUCUCCUGAUGCCAUGUGAAUUUAAGUUGAAGGAUUUGGGAAUAAUAAAAAGAAAGUUUUUUUUAAAUC
rnacentral:misc_RNA from 1 species